GUAAGGAAUAUUGGUCAAUGGAGGCAACUCUGAACCAGCCAUGCCGCGUGCAGGAAGACGGCCCUCUGGGUUGUAAACUGCUUUUAUCCGGGAAUAAACCUGCCUUCGUGAAGGUAGCUGAAUGUACCGGAAGAAUAAGGAUCGGCUAACUCCGUGCCAGCAGCCGCGGUAAUACGGAGGAUCCAAGCGUUAUCCGGAUUUAUUGGGUUUAAAGGGUACGUAGGCGGUUAAUUAAGUCAGUAGUGAAAGACUGUCGCUCAACGACGGAUGUGCUAUUGAUACUGGUUAACUUGAAUCAGGUUAGAGUUGGCGGAAUGGGUCAUGUAGCGGUGAAAUGCUUAGAUAUGACUUGGAACACCGAUAGCGAAGGCAGCUGACUGAGCCUUGAUUGACGCUGAGGUACGAAAGUGUGGGUAGCGAACAGGAUUAGAUACCCGAGUAGUCC
rnacentral:rRNA from 1 species